UACGUAGGUGGCAAGCGUUGUCCGGAUUUAUUGGGUUUAAAGGGUGCGUAGGCGGCUUUGUAAGUCAGUGGUGAAAUAUGGCAGCUCAACUGUCAAGGUGCCAUUGAUACUGCGGAGCUUGAGUACAGAUGAGGUAGGCGGAAUUGACGGUGUAGCGGUGAAAUGCUUAGAUAUCGUCAAGAACACCUAUAGCGAAGGCAGCUUACUAGGCUGUAACUGACGCUGAGGCACGAAAGUGUGGGGAUCAAACGGG
rnacentral:rRNA from 1 species